rnacentral:lncRNA from 1 species
UUGAUUUUUUGCCUGUUUAAUUCCAACUCAGUUGUGUCUUCUGGAUCCUGAAUUCUGAGAAGCUGGCUGUUAGGGCUGCCACUGAUUCCUGACCGGUAAUUACCCCUGAACACCAUACUGCCGGCUGGCUUCUCAGAGUCUCCUGAUAUGCAUAUGCUAGAAGGUUGAAAGUGGCAAGAAAUCCUUUGCAAAGGUUGUAAUUAGGACUAACAGUAUGAAAACAGGCAAGUUUGCUUGAACCUGCUUCCAGAAGAAGAUCCACUGGCAAACUGAACGUGUAAUGUCCUUGCUGAUGAGGCCCAUGCUUUUCUGGUAGACUAGCUGAUAAUGUGUUUUAGUAGAAACUGUGUAAGGUUUCCAAUGUAAUGCAUUUAUU